AUGCAUGCAUAUACCAUCACUUAUUAAUCUCUAUUAAUGAACUUUAGGCUAUUCUAUAUAUUUGCUGAUAAACAUGACUCCAGUUAUUAUAAUUCUACAUUCAACGUAAGUCAUUUCUUUAGUUAUUUUUGUUAGAUGAAUUUCUAGAAAUGGAGUUCUGGAUAAAAAUGUUUGCAGAUUUAAAAAAUAGAUAAUACCAAAUUACCCUUCAGAAUGGCUGUACUCAUUUAGACCCUGCCAAAAAAAAUGUAGAAUUCCUAUUUCUUUCUCAACACUGGAUUCUGAGAGAAGUUGUGUUAAAUACGUAGAAUUAUAUAGGAAAAAUUAAGAUUCUGGCAGAAUUACAUUUUUAUGAACACUGCUGCAAUAAACAUACGUGUGCAUGUGUCUUUAUAGUAUAAUGACUUAUAAUCCUUUGGGUAUAUACCCAGUAAUGGAAUUGCUGGGUCAAAUGGUAUUUCUGGUUCUAGAUCCUUGAGGAAUUGCAUGUGGUUUUCUAAAUAUAGAAUCAUGUUGUCUGCAACCAGGGAUAUUUUGAAUU
rnacentral:lncRNA from 1 species